rnacentral:lncRNA from 1 species
AGUCUAGUUAUAUAUCGGAGAGUAGGAUUCUUUUUUCUCCUCUUCUAUGCUGUGUGAGGAAUCUUGACGUAAUAAUUUAUUCUACUUAUCUUCCCACUCAAAAAAAAAAUUAGGAUCACACGGAUAUUUUUGGAAUCUAUAUGAUGCCGAUGUGACGGAGUUCUGUCUUGGUGCCUCCUAUCUGCUUUGAGUUUCAGGGGAGUUGAGCUCCAGGGGAUUCUUGAGCA